UAUCUAUGGUCAGUGUUUUCCCAGCCGAAGCAUGUGAAGUGAUCAGCGGAUAUGCAUGUUCAGCUGACAUUUCCCCUGAAGUCAAGCUUGAAACAAAGCCCAUCUCCCGUCCCGUGACUUCAGAGAACGUAGACCGAGAAUACCUAGAGUAUAACACCCCGAAAACGUAAAGAUCACUUUCCUUUAUUUACACUGAGAUUCUCAGCUUGCGUUUUUCAACUUCUGAUUGUGUGUGUUGUUUGUACUUGGAUACAGUGUUUUCGCCGCAGAGGCAUGUUUGAUCCAAAAAUGGUGUUUAUCUUUGUGAUGUUUGUUGGAAUCAAUCAAAUAAAGAAUCUAAAGAUAAAAGCUUAGAUUCUUGAGGUUUAGGAGAAAUCUUAAAAGAAUCAAAUGAGAAAUGAACAUCAAAAGAGUUUAUUGAUUUAAGAUUGUAUUACAUGUAGGAUUACAAGUGUAAAGAAAUCUAAUAAUCCAUAAACCCUUUGUAAGAAGUGUUUUAAAGAAGAAGAGAUCCCCAUCUAAUAAGGAGAUAGUUCCUUAUUUAUAGAAGAAAGAUGACUAGGGUUUCAUAGUAAAAUGAGUCUAAUUUAUUGUCUAAUGGGCCUUGAGGUAGAAUGUAAAUCUACCCCCAACAAUAAGUCCCCCCAAGUUCGUAGAGAGAGAUGAAGUCGAUCUCUGUGAAUUUUACGAAUAGGGUUUAUUAGACAAUAAACUAGACACAUUCAUGCCUAUGAUGGUUUAGGCGAGUUUACUUCGAACUUGUGCCUAGUAAAAGGCAAGUUUGCUUUAAACUCGUGCUUAGUGAAAGACGAGUUUACUUGACUUAUGCUGAGACAGAGGCGAAUUUACUGAGAACUCGUGCCUAGUAGUAGGAGAGUUUCUGUAAACUCAUGCCUUGUCAAAGAUGAGUUUUUGUAAACUCGUGUCUAACAAUAAGUGAGUCUAAUGCAAAUUUGUGCCUAAUAAAAAGCAAGUUGAAUUUAAACUCGUGCCUAGUAAAAAUAAGUUUACCAAACUUUGCCGACCCGAAGUCUCGUGUUGAGAUCGUGUGUGCCGAGCAAGUUAUUGGCUUGUGUGUUCGUCAGGCAUGAUGACGUAAGAAAGCGCCGGCUUGUGCUGAUUCAGACAAGUUUGUAGCUGCGAGAUCGCCAUUCCAAGCA
rnacentral:lncRNA from 1 species